AGAUGGAUGAGAAGUUAGAAAAGGGCGAGUGGAUGAGGACUCGGUACGACGCAUGGAGCCUGAUUGAGAGAAGAGUUCGACAGUUACUUGUCAUGGGGCAGUUGUACCCAGUAAAUGAAGCGUGUUGUUAACCGAGAAGUGCGACCUCGUGGGUAGCAUGGAAGAGAUGUGGUGUUGAAAAGGAUCCUUCCUCCUCAACGAUCGUGGGGCAAGUGGAUAAACAAAUUAUGAAGGUUCGUUCGUGGUCAAAAAAGUCUCCUCUGACAGAGCUUUGUUAUUGAUGAC
rnacentral:lncRNA from 1 species